rnacentral:tRNA from 1 species
GCCGCCAUAGUUUCAAUGGUAAAACGGAGCAAUGGUAAUGCUCAGUUCCCAGUUCAAUUCUGGGUGGCGGCACCA